AGAAACAGGGGCGCCGAAAGGCUGAGAUCCGCAAGGAGUACCCUUUAACCUGAUCCGGGUAAUGCCGGCGUAGGGAGUGG
rnacentral:ncRNA from 1 species